rnacentral:rRNA from 1 species
GCCUACGGGAGGCAGCAGUGGGGAAUAUUGCACAAUGGGGGGAACCCUGAUGCAGCGACGCCGCGUGAGUGAAGAAGUAUUUCGGUACGUAAAGCUCUAUCAGCAGGGAAGAAAAAAGGACGGUACCUGAGUAAGAAGCCCCGGCUAACUACGUGCCAGCAGCCGCGGUAAUACGUAGGUGGCAAGCGUUGUCCGGAUUUACUGGGUGUAAAGGGCGUGUAGCCGGGUUGACAAGUCAGAUGUGAAAUCCUGCGGCUUAACCGCAGAACUGCAUUUGAAACUGUUGAUCUUGAGUACUGGAGAGG